UUUUUUUUUUAAUUUUUAUUUUUUCCCCCUUUGUGCAAUAAAGUUUUGUUUUGGCAGAACGGAGCCUGUGGUAUUCCUUAGUGGGAAUUCUCCUGGAAUAACGAUUUCCCGCGGCACUGCAGGACAGGAUUCCCAGUUUUGCCACUGCUGGGAGCCAAAAUUCCAGAGCCCAGAUCCCAUUUCCCACUGCAAAUCCCAUUUGGGUCUCCCAGACUCCGCUCUCGGCUCCUUUUCCUCGUUUUCCACAAUCCGAGGCAUUUCCACCCCAAAGCAGGCAGCGAAUCCAGCGGGAAUUGAUCCCAAACUUCCCAAACUCAGGAACCUUUUACAAAACUUUUAUUCCCAGUCCCGCUGUCCCUGGGAUUGGGAGGGAUCCCGAGGAUUCCGGGAGGGAUUUCUGAGCAUCCCAUGAAGGAUUCCCAAGGAUUUUGGGAGGGAUUCCAAGAGGGAUUCCCAAGGAUCCUGGCAGAGAUUCCAGGAAGGAUUCCAGCCAGGAUUCCUGAAGAUUCCAGGAGGGAUUCCAGGGGGGAUUCCCGAGGAUCCUGGGAGAGAUUCCAGGAAGGAUUCCAGCCAGGAUUCUGGAGGAUUCCAGCUGGAAUUCCUGAUGAUUCCAGGGGGGAUUCCAGGGGGGAUUCCCAAGGAUUCUGGGAGGGAUUCCCGAGGUCUCCAGGAGGGAUUCCCAAGGAUUCCAGCUGGUAUUGCUGAGGUUUCUGGCCAGGAUUGUGGAGGAUCCCAGCUGGAAUUCCCGAUGAUCCCAGCUGGAAUUCCUGAUGAUCCCAGCACACUCAGGGCUGCGGGGCGGCUCCGUCUUGGGCGAGCAGCUCGGGGAAGAGCGCGGGCAGCCAGAACUGCGGCUCAGCCGGAGCCUGAGCGUCCAGCCAGGCCAUGCCCUCCUUCAGCAGCUGCUCCUGGGAAAUGGGAAUGGGCUGGGAAUGGCUGGGAUGGGCUGGGAAGGGCUGGGAAUGGGCUGGGGAUGGGCUGGGAAUGGGCUGGGGAUGGCUGGGAAUGGGCUGGGAAUGGCUGGGAAUGGGCUGGGAAUGGGCGGGAAUGGGGAGAGAAUGGCUGGGAUGGGCUGGGAAUGGCUGGGAAUGGGCUGGGAAUGGCUGGGAAUGGGGAGAAUGGCUGGGAAUGGGGUGGGAAGGGUGGGAAUGGUGUGAAUGGGCUGGGAAUGUGGUGGGAAUGACUGGGAAUGGGCUGGGAAUGGCUGGGAAUGGGUGGGAAUAGGGUGGGAAUAGGAUGGGAAUGGCUGGGAAUGGGGUGGGAGUGGGUUGGGAAUGGGAUGGGAAUGGCUGGGAAUGGGUGGGAAUGGGGUCGGAAUAGGAUGGGAAUGGUGGGAAUGGGCUGGGAGUGUGCUGGGA
rnacentral:lncRNA from 1 species